AUUUGGGACAGGAGCAGCCAGGCCUGUACGGGAUUUCGGCCUCCCUAGAUCCCGGUUCCUCGGGAGCACUGCCUCCCCCUCCCCCCACCUAGUCCUGGGAGGCCACGUGACCUGCGCCCCCAGGAGCCACUAAUCGCCUGGCUCCGUCCCUUCUCCCAAAUAGGGAAGCGACAGGAGCAGAUCGAGUUUCUCGGCCCGUAUUUACAGGUUUCCUGGACGAAGCCAAACCACCUCCUUCCCUCGCUCCCCCAGCGCGCGCACUGGGGAAAGGAGAGAAGGGCCCCCUCCUGCGCCCCACCCCCACCCCUCCAGUCCUCCGAGCCGCGGGUGCGGCCACUUCUUUCUCCCUCCCUCUUUCCUCCCUCCCUCCGCAGCCGCUCCGCCGGCCCCUCUGGGGGCAAAGCAGAGGUUGCCGCAUUCCAAACCCCGGACGGCCCUUUGAGGUCACGUGGCGCGAUGGGGGUGGGGCGGCAGGACGCCCCUGACCUAGGCUGGCGACCUAGAAGCUUUUCAGUGAAGCGGAUCCUGGUGCCUUCUCCCCAGACCUCGUGGAGGCCAGCUUCGUUUGGGGAGUGAUGCAAGGCGGAUUUUUACCCUCCAGCGCCUACUGUGUGCCAGGCCCACGCUGAGCACUCACGCUUCUUACCUCCAGGCCUCCCUGCACCCAGGCAGGGGGCUCACGCCUUUCCCACUGGAAACACUGGCCGGGAGUCACCAAGGCAAAAUGGAUAGGGAGGAACCCAGUGUCUUCCUCCUCCUCGGUUUACUUCGUUGUUUGGAUGAAGCACAUCCUCCAGUAGCUUCCUGAGAAAGAAUGCCUGGGAGAUACAGAGCCAGAGCAGGAUUCAACAUCGUCCUGGAAUCUGAGAAUGGACCACCUGGGGACAAAGAGGUCCAUGGGGCCCUGAGAGAAUGCUCAGAGGCGAGGAGGCGAGCAAGUGUUUUAACCCCAUCCCCCAGCUUUGGACGUGUCAGGACCUGCUGGAGUUACGGAAGUGGCUGGAGUUUAAUCUGAAGGCUGAUGCCUCUGUUUGCUUGUGGGAGCGGCAGAGGUACCUGAAAACACCUACGUGGACAGUUUAUGCAGCUGGAAGGGACCUGUGGCAGAUUUCUAGUAACCGCCUCACAGAAACCCUGAUUCUCAGCUGAACACUGUUAAGAAUUGUGAAGGACUGAGAUUUUAUUCUAUUUACAAGCUAGCAAAUUAGCCCCUGUGGUAGCUGCUGGGGAGCUGAGACUCCUGGGUCAGAGAUGAAGGGCAGUUUAUUACAGCAAUAGCAGUAGAAGAGUAUCAGCCUCAGUUCCCAUAGGGCUUCACAAGGAUGGCCAAGUGAUGAUGUCAGGACACACAGUCAGUUGCAUUUCAGGAGAGGAACCCCGAACUUGGGGAGCCCAAAUCUUUUAUAACGGGAAGUAUGCUUGCCCUUCACUCUAGAGGAGGGCACUAUAUACCUUCUAUGGAUGUUCACUGUAUCCUGGAAAUGAUAAUCUAAAAUGGAGGACAGGGGCUUCCCUGGAGGCGCAGUGGUUGAGAGUCCGCCUACCGAUGCAGGGGACACGGGUUCGUGCCCUGGUCCGGGAAGAUCCCACAUGCCGCGGAGCCGCUGGUCCCGUGAGCCAUGGCCGCUGAGCCUGCGCGUCCGGAGCCUGUGCUCCGCAGCGGGAGAGGCCACAACAGUGAGAGGCCCGCGUACCGCAAAAAUAAAUAAAUAAAUAAAUAAAAAUAAAAUGGAGGACAGUCAGUGCUUCACUUGCAAGAUGUGCAGAAAUGGAAUAGAACCAUGGAGAAUUGUCUGCCAGGAAACACAUGGCCAGAGAAAACAAACAACACAUUUCCCGGCCUCUCUCUUUUUUUUUUAAAUGAGAAGUGUUGGAUAUGGAAGCCUAUAGGUAAAACAGCCCUAAUCUUUAAAAAAAAAUAAAUUUAUUUAUUUAAUUUAUUUAUUUUAGGCUGCAUUGGGUCUUCACUGCUGCACGCGGGCUUUCUCUAGCUGCGGUGAGUGGGGGCUACUGUUUGUUGCAGUGCGCGGGCUUCUCAUUGCGGUGGCUUCUCUUGUUGUGGAGAACGGGCUCUAGGGUGUGUGGGCUUCAGUAGUUGGCACGUGGGCUCAGUAGUUGUGGCUCGUAGGCUCUGUAGUUGUGGUGCACAGGCUUAGUUGCUCCGCAGCAUGUGGGAUCUUCCUGGACCAGGGCUUGAACCUGUGUCCCCUGCAUUGGCAGGUGGAUUCUUAACCACUGCACAAUCAAGGAAGCCCCCAGCCUCUCUUGCAGCUAGGUGUAACCAUCUGACUAAGUUGUGGUCUAUUAAGUGUAAGCUUUUUUGUGGCAGCUUCUGGGGAAUUGCAAAAAAAAAAAAAAAAAAAAAAGGGCUGGCAUAUGCCCUGCGCUUCUGAUGGCUGGAAUGUGGAUAUGAUGUUGGAGUGUGAGCAGCCAUGUUAGGCCAGGAGUGGCAUGUAAGGACUAAGUAUGCCAGAGUAGCAGAUGCAAGGGGCCUAGGUCUCUGAUUUAUCUUUGGACCUCUUUACAUGAGAGAGAGAAACUUCCAUCUUAACUUUUUUUUUUGUAUAUGCAACUGAACUUGAUUCUAACUGAUACAGGGCUAGCACAGAGGAAGACCAAUGGAGGAUUAGACUUGUCAGCGGAGAGAAGGGUUAGGGCACUUCUCCCCCUUCCUUCUGCCUCAGGCUCAUCAGGGACAGGGGGAGGGGAUGGGGAGUCACCUCUGGCUUGUUCACCACCCACCGGUGAUGCCCCAUUCACAAGGGGGCCCAGGCUGGCCACGCGACCCAGCAGCAUCCUUUCGAAGGCAGCAAGCAACAAGCUGGCUCCAUUCACAAACCCUGUCCUCCUUUGAAAACCAAUCAUCGUGCGAAGCGUGACUGGGUGGUGGCCAGCGCUGGCCCAUCUGUCAUGCCCUUUCAGAGAGCCAGGCAUCAGCAGCCGGCCUGGGCCAAUCCAGCCCCUCUCCCUUUGUACCCCAGGGACACGCACUGUAACGAGAUCACAGUGCCUACUGAAUUAUUCAGAGCCGCCCUGAGUGUCAGUGUUAUUAUAAACAUGCAGAUUUCUCCGGGCUCCAAACUUCCAAAUCUCCAGCAGCCAUCUCCCUCCAGGAUUUUUCAUUGGCUGCUUUGUGCCUGUGAUUUCAGAUUCCCCAGGCCUUGAUGGCCUAAUCUGCCUUUGACUAGCUCCUACCUGCCGCCAGGCAUGAAGGCCUUGGUGCCCUUUACGCACCACUUCAGGCCCCAUUCUUUGCUCAACAGCCAGUCCUCACUGGCACCCCAGCAGCCUGCCUCUUCCCUGUCUCCUCCCGGCUUCACCGCCCAGGUUGGUGACAUCAGACUCUCCCAAGUGCCUGCCUGAUGGGGACACGUUAAUAACAGCAUCCUCCACUUCCGUGGGUCUCCGUCUCAUCUGUGUCCUUGUGAGGCUUUAAGCCUCUGGGUCUCCCCUCCCAUCCCCAUGUUCUAGCUCCAACACAAUCUUCCCCUUCCCCACAAGUCCCAGAUUCCCGGUUCUCUCUGGAGUUGGUCUGGAGAAUACCCCCCAGCUGGUAAUGAGGCAGAGAUGGUAAUGCACAUUUAAGAGUAAUGAAAUGCAGUGAUAUUUCAGGCCUGACAGACCUAUUUCUGGCAGCCUUAGAAUUAAAGUGUGAGGCUUUGUA